AGCAGUUUAAGAUUCUCCCUGUAAAUAUGACUGAUCUCUUUUUUACCGAACUUCUAAGAACCCAAAAAUUAAUUGGAAAGCAGAAAGAAUCUACAAAAUUUUAUUGACCAGUAAUGACAUUUGGCGAAAGUGUUGUUGAUGCUGGAAUUCUGUUUUCCAUAUUUAUCUCUUUUAGAUGUCUUCCCUGUACAUCUAUUCCUUACGACAAUAACAAAUUGUGCUACGAUUUUGAAAGUAAGGAAGAUGACUCGGUAUUCUCCUCUCGAUAACUUGGAAAACCCCUUUUUGAUUUGCAGUUGCACUCUUGUAUCAAGAAACCAAACUGUUUCUAACCAGAUGUACCCGACGGAGACUACCUUUCAAUCUUCAGAUAAAUUCUAUGUCUUGACACGGUAGCAAUCAAACAAAAGGAGGCUAUGAACAAGGGAAUAUUAGGAUAUUCUUUGUAGAUGGUAAAUUUCUUAUCCUCUAUUAUUUGACAGAUGAAUUUUCAAAGAGAAUAGUACUUAUGGUUAUUGGUGAAGAAUGAGUAGAAGACCGUUAUUUUGAUUUGAAAUAGUGCGAAGUCACUAACUUUCUAGAUAAGUGGGCUUGGAAAAGGAAAUGGCUGAAUGAUUUUAACUUAACUAAUUUGGAGUUGAGUUUACAUGUGAUAGUGAUGUUCAGGCACGCGAGAGGGAAAAUGGAGGAAUCAAUCAGGGAGGGUUUGUAACUAGUUGGGUUUCAUAAGCGGUUUUUGGUGUCUGUAGUGUAUUUCUUUUUUUCAUUGAGAUUGUCGAAACAGAUAAGAUGAAAUUCCAAUAUUUAAGGGGUGUCCCGCAAGCAGGACUAUGUCCUCGAGCUGCUCUAAUGGUAAAGAACUUGAACAUAAUUAAUUUGUUUUAAAAUUAUGCAGGAAACGCCAUACUUGCUAAUUAACCAUGAAUAUUCACCUUU
rnacentral:lncRNA from 1 species